GGCUGGGUUUGAGCAAUCUGGAGCUUGUUUCCACCGUUGGAUGAUAAUCCGAUGGAAAAGGAAAAAAAAGGUGUCUGAACAUGCCAACAGUCGUCUGAGGCAUAGUCGCCUCGCCCCUAAUUUUGGCAGCUGCAAGUAAUUUCAGCGGCUCUGUUUUGUCUCUGCACCACACCAUCAUUGCUACACCGCGAUUCUCACUAUACAGUGCGUCACAGGUCAAGCCCUCAGCUCAAAUUUCGUCAUGGCCACUGUCUUCUGUCCUCUGACGUUUGUCACUUAUUCUCUCUCUCCAUGAGGCCACCAUGCUGGGCAGAAGGUUGCGCCGCACUGGUGCCCAGAAAUUGUUCGAUGAAAUGGCUGUGAGGCCAACACGGGUACCCAGCCUGGGUGUUGUUCGACGAAAUGGCCGUGAGGCCUAGACUGGUUCUCAGGACAGCUGACGAUGUGAGCAAGCCUAGCCAGCCUCCCGCGCCAAUCAGGUCAGGUCAGCGGUGCUGUUCCCCAUCUUGGAAGAAUGCUGCAAGAAAUUUCAAUGCUUGAUGUUGGCUCUCUCUUUUGCUUUUUGUGUUGGUUCCGACGCCAAUCAGGAACCUGUUUAAUAGUGACAGGUGAGCUGAUAUUUUCCUGCUGUGGGAACAAAUUUUCUAGUCAAUCUUCUGAGGCUACGGCUGCUAGCUGCUCCAUCACAGUUAAAAGGACGACUAUGGCCUGGGAGGAAACUUUCUAGUCAAGAUCCUGAGCUUUCAGCUAGCUGUAUGCAAUUCGUCAAGGUGCUGUCCAAACUGCGGCCCGCCUUUUGAAGUAAGGCAGGAUGCUGCGGGAAGGCAGUGCAGCUCUGGUGCCCCGAUGGUAUUUGAUGAAAUGACCAUCUCUGACGUUGUGAGGCCGUCAACACCAACACCGAGAUCAGCGUACGGUUCCCCAUCUUGCUGCCACAACAAGCCUUCCUUAAAAGAGAAGAAGGUGGUCUGAUGGUCUAGAUAUAUUAUGACCCGCCUUCAAUUCA